CAAAGAUUAAGCCAUGCAUGUCUAAGUACUAGCAUUAAUACUGUGAAACUGCGAAUGGCUCAUUAAAUCAGUUAUGAUCUACUUGGCAUUCUAACUGCUUUGCUGCUGGAUAACCGCGGUAAUUCUGGAGCUAAUACAUGUGUAUAUAACGGUCGAYGCCGUUGCGUAUAUUAGAUAAAAACCAACCUGGGGUAAAACCUGGUCUUUGGUCGCUCAUAGUAUCCUUGCCGGUCUUCAGUUUAAUCUGGAGCCAGUUCAUUCGAUUUUCUGCCCUAUCAUUGCUUUUGAUUGCACGAUCGAGGCGUGCAAUGGCUUCUACGGGUAACGGGGAAUAAGGGUUCGAUUCCGGAGAGGGAGCCUGAGAAACGGCUACCACAUCCAAGGAAGGCAGCAGGCGCGCAAAUUACCCAAUCCCGACACGGGGAGGUAGUGACAAUAAAUAACAAUGCAGGGCUUUAUAGUCUUGCAAUUGGAAUGAGUACAAUUUAAAUCCUUUAACGAGGAUCAAUUGGAGGGCAAGUCUGGUGCCAGCAGCCGCGGUAAUUCCAGCUCCAAUAGCGUAUACUAAAGUUGUUGCAGUUAAAACGCCCCCAGUCCAAUUUUAGUCUGUAGGUGGCCAUAUCAGCAUUCAUUUGUUUGAUGUUGGUUUAUCUGGGACUUUUGACUGGAUCUCCCUUGACUUCGGUCUUGGGGUCGAACCAGUUGAUUACCAUGAGCAAAUCAGAGUGUUUAAAGCAGGCUUUUUAGCUUGAAUGUGUUAGCAUGGAAUAAUGAAAUAUGAUCUUUGGUCUAUUUUCGUUGGUUCAAGACCAAAAUAAUGAUGAAUAGGAGUGGUCGGGGGCAUUUGUAUUUGGGCGCUAGAGGUGAAAUUCUUGGAUUGCCCAAAGACAAACUACUGCGAAAGCAUUUGCCAAGGACGCUUCCGUUGAUCAGGGGCUAAGGUUAGGGGAUCGAAGACGAUUAGAUACCGUCGUAGUCUUAACAGCAAACUAUGCCGACUAGGGAUUGGACUUGGCUCUUAUGGCUUGUCCAGCACCUUAGCGAAAGCAAAGUUUUUGGGUUCUGGGGGGAGUACGGGACGCAAGGCUGAAACUUAAAGGAAUUGACGGAAGGGCACCACCAGGAGUGGAGCCUGCGGCUU
rnacentral:rRNA from 1 species